ensembl:lincRNA
AUGUCCUCAGAGCGGGCAGGUCCCCAAAACGAGAAGACGUACGCUUCGAGGGCACAAUGCAGGUACAGCUCUAGAAUUCUCCAUUCUAGAACCUGCCCCUCCUCUCCCCAAGCUAGCCCUCCCCCUGCCCAGUCCAGGGCUGUGCCAGCCCCCGCCCUGAGCUCACAGCCCCAUCACUCCCUGCUUCUGCCGCAGUCCCAGCAAGUCUUCAGAAGCGUGGCUGCUGCCUCAAGAAGGACGCAGUUCCCACCCAGCGCCCCCCACCUCCCUGGCCCCUGCCCUCUGACACAAGUCAGGCCUCAGUCGUGCCCCCCAAGACUGGUGAAACUGGACCACUACACCCCCUCCCAUGCACUGCCCUUCGUGAAGGGCAGCAGCAGGCAGAAGCUGGAUCAGAGAACCUUCACAGAGCAGAUACAUGAGGGCAAGGACAAUGGCUACCUGUUCCCCAAAGUGUACUUGGCCGAUGCCACCCACAAGUGCAUGCACCACAACCCCAAGCUGUCCUCCGAUCUGCAGGGCAAGCGCUACACCAUGAUAGCUGUCAAGAUCGUCUCCACAACCGAGGCCCCGGUGGAGUUUUCCCGCAAGCUCCUGCCCCGUGAGAUCUCCAUCACUCAACACUACCUACAAGCACCUGAACGUGGUGGGCAGAGGCCUGGACACAGCCUGUCCCCACCCUCCCCUUCCCCAAGGGUAGCUCUCCCCAGCCAGCUGCCUGCCCCAGGCCUAUUGCCCCCUCCCCCCACCUUGGACCUCCCUUUUGCCCCAGGGCUGGAGCCCAACCCCAUCCUGGAACCUGGAUCUGCUACCCUUGACAGUUCCAGCACAGCCUUGGCCCUGCCUCAGGGUGAUGGCAGGUGUGUGGGCUGCAGGUGCAGCUGUAUGAGACCUAUCAGAGCAGCCAGCUCGUGCCGGAGCUGGUGGCCCAGGGCGACCUGCUGGAGCACAUCAACGCUGCGUUGGACCACCUCUGCCACCCAGGGCUGGAGGAGAAGGAAGUCCUCAGACUGUUCUGGCAGCUGGUCAGUGCCAUGGCACACUACCACAGCGUGGGCAUCGCCUACCAGAGAGGGCGGCACCUGGGUCGAUCGUCUGCCCACAGGCACAGAGAGGCCCACUUGAGCCCAAGCCAGCCCUACCUCCUGCCUCCCCUCUCCCAUGCAGGGACCUGAAGGGCGAGAACAUCCUGCUGGACAGCCACGGCCUUCUCAAGCUGACCGGUGAGCCCACAGCCCCCGCCCGGACCCCAGCCUGGGGUUGAAUGCCUCCACCUGCAGGGCCCACACCCCAUGCUUGUCCCAGCCAGGCCUCUGCCUUCAGCUCUCCCAGAAGGCCUGUGGGCCACCCUUACCCACGGGCCUGAGGCCACUGGCCUAACCCCUACGUAUGCCCCAGACCAGGCCCACCUCAUCCACACCCACACUCUUGCUGUCGGCCACACACUGCAUGCAACCCCGCAAGCCUCCACAGCCAUCCCUGCAGACUGGCAUCCUGCACCCGACCCUCACGCACAGUGCCACCCUCCCCAUGCACCUGGUACAGAUUUUGGCUUUGCCGACUGCGUGGGGCCCAGGAACUCACUGCUCAGCACUUUCUGCGACUCCCCAGUCUACACAGCCCGAGAUCCUCGAGAGCAGCAAGUAUAGCAGGGAGCAGGCUGACCUGUGGAGCCUGUGAGUGCCUCCCAGGGAGCCCUGACCCUAGGCAAUGGGGCAACCUGUGGAGUCUGAGUGCCCCCAGGGCACCCCAACCCUGUGGCCAGGGCCCAUGGGAGGGCUGGGGAGAGGCCACACCCGUAGCUCAUGUCCCCAGAGGUGUCAUCCUCUAUGCCAUGGUGAGUAAGAAGCUGCCCUUCAAGGAGCCCCAGCCCCACUGCAUGCUGCACCUCAUGCACUGCGGUCCCACCUUCUGGCCAGGUCUGUUCCCAGGUAAGCACCACCCCAUGACCUUCCCACACCUAGCUCAGGCCUAGAGAGCGGCAGUGAAGAAGACCUGGACUCCCAAGGGGGUAGUCCUGCGUGGUAGAAGAGACCAAACCUGGCAUCCUCCCCACUUAGGCUGGGAAGCGUUUGGUCCAUGCACGGCAGUGACAAGUUCUGGGGAAGCUGGACUGGUGGAGGACCUGACUCAAAAUGCAGUUCAGGAAAGGCUGUGGCUGCGAACCUGAGCUCUGCACUAGCCCAGGGCACACUGCCUUGCCCCUCUAUGCCUCAGUCUCCCCACUGGCGACAGAACUGACCCCUCUAAGCUGCUGGCACCAUUGGCAGUGAUGUGCAUGGGGUGAAGGUGGGUGCUGGAGUGGUGAGAGGCUACAGCUGUGAGCCCUCGCCCACAGUGCCAGGACCUGAUUUGGGGGCUGCUGCAGCUGUGUCCAAACACAUGCCUGGGUCUGCAGCGAACACGCUCUUCCUCAGUGCUGUGCCAGGUGUGGUGUGGCCCUGUGGGUGAGCAACUGAGCAGCACGUGGUCCCUCUGCACUCCACCUGACCCCACUGUGGUCCCUUGCAGAGAAGCAAGUACAGUCCCAAUUCCCAGCAUCCAUGGAUGACCUGGAGCCUGGUACAGACUUAAGAGUGCCAAUGGCCAGUCCUGUAGUUGCACUGCCCCCAACAGCAGGGCAUCCCCAAGGAGAACGAGGGCUCCAAGCUCAGGCCUCCGGAAGCACACCCCAGAAGAGGGGUGGGUUCCGCCCAGCUGGUGCUCUGGAGCACUGUGGCAGCCAGCCUAGGAGUGAGCGCCUCCAGGAGGCGUUCCAGUAAACUGAGG